AGUGAACGCUGGCGGUAGGCCUAACACAUGCAAGUCGAACGGCAGCACAGUAAGAGCUUGCUCUUACGGGUGGCGAGUGGCGGACGGGUGAGGAAUACAUCGGAAUCUACUUUUUCGUGGGGGAUAACGUAGGGAAACUUACGCUAAUACCGCAUACGACCUACGGGUGAAAGCAGGGGAUCUUCGGACCUUGCGCGAUUGAAUGAGCCGAUGUCGGAUUAGCUAGUUGGCGGGGUAAAGGCCCACCAAGGCGACGAUCCGUAGCUGGUCUGAGAGGAUGAUCAGCCACACUGGAACUGAGACACGGUCCAGACUCCUACGGGAGGCAGCAGUGGGGAAUAUUGGACAAUGGGCGCAAGCCUGAUCCAGCCAUGCCGCGUGAGUGAAGAAGGCCUUCGGGUUGUAAAGCCCUUUUGUUGGGAAAGAAAAGCAGCAGGUUAAUACCCCGCUGUUCUGACGGUACCCAAAGAAUAAGCACCGGCUAACUUCGUG
rnacentral:rRNA from 1 species